CAUCCUCAUCCGCAGCGUCCUGGCCAGCUGGAUCGAUCGUUGGUUGAUCGUGGAAGCGCUUCAGUUGAUGUGCAGUUGCUCUCCGGGAUUCUGUUCGAUUUUGAGGGUUG
rnacentral:precursor_RNA from 1 species